rnacentral:rRNA from 1 species
UACGGAGGGUGCGAGCGUUAAUCGGAAUUACUGGGCGUAAAGCGCGCGUAGGCGGCGAAUCAAGCCGGUUGUGAAAGCCCCGGGCUCAACCUGGGAAUGGCAUCCGGAACUGGUUGGCUAGAGUGCAGGAGAGGAAGGUGGAAUUCCCGGUGUAGCGGUGAAAUGCGUAGAGAUCGGGAGGAAUACCAGUGGCGAAGGCGGCCUUCUGGCCUGACACUGACGCUGAGGUGCGAAAGCGUGGGUAGCAAACAGG